GACGUAGGGCGCGAGCGUUGUCCGGAUUUAUUGGGCGUAAAGAGCUCGUAGGCGGCUUGUUGCGUCGACUGUGAAAACCCGUGGCUCAACCAUGUGGUCUGCAGUCGAUACGGGCAGGCUAGAAUUCGGUAGGGGAGACUGGAAUUCCUGGUGUAGCGGUGAAAUGCGCAGAUAUCAGGAGGAACACCAAUGGCGAAGGCAGAUCUCUGGGCCGUAACUGACGCUGAGACGCGAAAAGCGUGGGGAGCGAACAGG
rnacentral:rRNA from 1 species